GAUGAACGCUAGCUACAGGCUUAACACAUGCAAGUCGCGGGGCAGCAUUUCCUUAGCUUGCUAAGGAAGAUGGCGACCGGCGCACGGGUGAGUAACGCGUAUCCAACCUUCCCAUGUCCACGGGAUAGCCCGUCGAAAGGCGGAUUAAUACCGUAUGAGGUCACAUGCGGGCAUCUAAGUGUGACGAAAGGUUUAGCGGACAUGGAUGGGGAUGCGUCCGAUUAGCUUGUUGGCGGGGUAACGGCCCACCAAGGCGACGAUCAGUAGGGGUUCUGAGAGGAAGGUCCCCCACAUUGGAACUGAGACACGGUCCAAAACUCCUACGGGAGGCAGCAGUGAGGAAUAUUGGUCAAUGGGCGAAGCCUGAACCAGCCAAGUAGCGUGAGGGAUGACUGCCCUAUGGGUUGUAAACCUCUUUUAUAAGGGAAUAAAGUGAGCCUCGUGAGGCUUUUUGCAUGUACCUUAUGAAUAAGGACCGGCUAAUUCCGUG
rnacentral:rRNA from 1 species